rnacentral:tRNA from 1 species
GGUUCUUUAGCUUAGCUGGUCAAAGCCCUCCGCUCAUAACGGGGUUACCGCUGGUUCGAGUCCAGCAAGAACCA